AGCAGCCGCGGUAAUUCCAGCUCCAAUAGCGUAUAUUAAAGUUGUUGCAGUUGAAAAGCUCGUAGUUGAACCUUAGGCCCGUGCGGGCGGUCCGUCCUCAGGGCGAGUACUGCCUCGUUGCGGGUCUCACCUUCUGGCGAGCGUGGAUGCCAUUUGUUUGGUGUCCGCGGGAACCAGGACCUUUACCUUGAAAAAUUGAGUGCUCAAAGCGGGCUCCGACGCUUGAAUACAUUAGCAUGGAAUAAUGAAAUAGGACGAUGGUUCUAUUUUGUUGGUUUCCGGGACCGUCGUAAUGAUUAAUAGGGAUAGUUGGGGG
rnacentral:misc_RNA from 1 species